UUCCAGUUCCCUAAGACAUCGUACUCUUGCGGAAGGAUAAUCUGAGGAUGCGCAUCCAAUAUGGCGCCAGUACGACUCUCUAUAGUCUGGUAACACUCGGUAUUUCUCAAUUGAGAAUGUGGGUAGUACCCGAGUAAAAUGAUCGUCUGGGUUGUCUGAGCCGUCUGAUGCCGCUGAUUUGAAGCAUUGUCUAGAACAGCCAAUGAAGUCGCUUUAUGGAAUAAUCCGCGUUCGCCCGCGAGUAACAAAUUCCACAACGUGCCUUCUAGUAAGCUUCCAGCAAGAUAGUAGUUGUUCUUCGUGAGGAAAUACAAUGGCGAAACGCACUCAUAUCUCAGAUGACAGAGAGGUAUUUUAGAGCGAUUUUUCGAAGAAGGGAUGGUUGGAACGGGAACCAUGUACAAGGAGAUGGUUUUAAAAGCGUCAACGGACACUGGUUUGACGAAGGCACAAGUCGAGAAGUGGAUUGGGAAUCAGAAAA